rnacentral:tRNA from 2 species
GUCUCUGUAGCUCAGUAGGAUAGAGCGGCAGCCUCCUAAGCUGUGUGUCGUGGGUUCGAUUCCCUCCAGGGACG